rnacentral:lncRNA from 1 species
AGCCACAGAUGCUCGGUGCUCUCACGCACGCAAGGCUGCCCUCAAACCCUCAGUAGAGAGAAGAUAAACACUGUCGGAGGUAAGUGCCUUCUUCCAGGGCCUACAGUGGGAGUGAGGCUGCCUGCCGAGGGGAGAGUGAGUUGCGGGCUCAGGUGUUUAAAAGCCGCCACACAGCUCCUGAGCAACACUGGGCAUAAAACAUUCCCUAAUUGAAUUUGGUCUGCCAUGAUUAUUCAUUCUGUUCAGAAAGCCUGAGCAAAACUGGACACUUUCUGAAAGCUUCUUUAUACUCCCUAGAGAGGGGAAGGGGAAGGGGAAGGCUAGAGACAUAUGGAAGACGCAGAGGCUGGCUUGUAUUUCUAUCCUUGGAGUGGCUAUGGUAAGCCAUGUCUCAUUUAAGAAUGGCCUGGUUAUCAAUAGCAUCAGGGCCUUGGAUGAAGAUUCUACCUGUCUGUUUAAAAUGGGGGUUUGUUUGACAGGGGCUCCUCUUUGUGUGUGCUUCACCAUGCCUUAUUCUUAUUUCAAAGACACCUGAUCCCAAUUCUUCCUCGUGUGUGUUCCAACUUGUACUGUCCCCUCAAUGAUGCUAGAAAUAGCUGUCCACCUGCAUAGAGGUGAAACUGGUCCCUAGGAGUCCCGAGCUUCGGCAGCCCUUGAUUGAGAGUCCAUCGAGCCUUUAAUGCUGAGAACCUGGCGGAGGAUUCUCUCUUUGCCUCUGGUUGGUGACUAAAUGGCCGAUUUGAUUGAUGUAUGGAUAAGGAACUUUUCCAGAUUUCUCCCUUUCUAAAUGGGUUUCCUUGAAAAGAAAAGUGACUCUGUUCCCUGGUGAAAACAAGAACAUUCUAUUUUAAAAGUUCUGUGUGCUUUCAAAGAUGACAAGACUCGGGAGAUAUGAACUGACUUUCUUUGUCUAGACUGUACUAGCCUAAAACAGCCAAAUGGAUACAUUUCACACAACAACUUCACAUGACAGUAAAUGCAGGUUUGCAAUUUUUUUUUAAAGCAUCUCUGCUUUUUGCUUUUUAAGAAAUCCUUUUGUGGUAUUGAUGGGUUAUUUUUUGCAGCAAAGUGACUCCACAUAGUUCCCGAAGCUCCCCCUUCUUGGUCCUGGGAAGCUGUUUGCAGGAUGUUCUUCGCUCCUUUGAACACGCUGAAAAUACAGAUUCGUGAUCACCUGGUACUUGUGAAUCCACCACAUCUUCCUAGGCGCUGUGGCGCGCGCUGAUGCAUCUGAGGCAGGUUACGCUUUGCCAAGGCCUCCUCCUUAGAGACCGCCCACUCCCACUUAGGAAGAGAGAUAGAUGCCUGGCAUUAGACAGGGAGCAAACGGAGUUUAACUUGUUUUUCAUGCACGGGGGCUCAAUGGGGAAACUCCAUUUGGAAUUGUCCACAGCCCCUAGAAAUGUCUAGAAAUCCCAUCCUCUUGGAGAAGGGGAGGACAGGACACAGAAAUCUUGUUUUAAUAGGCAGACACUAAGGGACCCUUGUCACUCAGCCUCCCUUAGGGAGGACUUAGGAAAUAAGGCACUCUGACUGCUAAAUGGUAGGAGGUGUGUGGGUCUGAGCUCAAGAGCAUGAACCCCUUCCUGCGCUACGGAAACCCUGCUGGCAUUUGGACACAUCACCCUGAUUAACAUCCAACACCAUUGGUCUUAGUCAUUGCUUUGUUGAUGUUGUUUGUUUUUUUUGGGAGGGUGGGGGUCGGGGGAUGUUCAUAGAAAAUAACAGAUGCUACCAUUUUUCCAUCCAGCAUGUGCACUUUCUGUUGGAUAUUAGCUAGUACAAGUGAGCUUCCCAGUGUUCAGUCUGAAAAUUCUAAAGCCCUUUUAAGUCUGAAGAAAGGAAACAGACAAUGUGGCUUGGACCCUAGAACGAAUGGCUUUGGCUUUUCUUCUCGGUGAUACAUUCAUUAGUAAACAACAUUUGGAAGAACAGGAAAAUAUUCUGCUGACAGAAUUUGAUCACUUGGUCAAAGAAAACACAGAAAAACAAAACAAAACAAAUGUUUCAGUAGUGUCUAAAAAUUGUUCAAAGGGCCCUAAUAAAUGCGAAUUUAUUUCUUGAUAUAAUAGCAUAAAGUUAACUAUGCUGCAUAGUACUUCAGUAAUUAUUUGCUUAAAAAAAAUUUUUUUUGACCUGAAGUCUCUCUCUGUCAGCAAGACUGUUUCAUGGUGGCAAAUACAUCUGUUUGAGUCAGAUAGGUUCCAGCUUUCAUAUUUACGAAAAGUGUUUACAAGGAGGAUUUAUUAAAUGGGGUUAUCCAGAAGGAGGAGGGAGGACUUUGAAAUUUUUAAAAUUCUCAUUAUUUUUCUCAUUUCCAAAGCACUGUGAAAAAAAUUGUGAAAAUUAAUAAAUUCAAUGAAACAGAGGUAAAAGUCCAACAGCAGCUCCCUUUCCACCUGGUCGAGCGCUACAGUAACAUGAACGCUGUACAGUUCUCCCUGAAAAGGGUCCGAAUCAUAUGCACUGUUUUGAAAACCACUCCUCUGUUGGAAAUGAAAUCUUACUUUGUUUCCAAGUCAACAACAGCCAACUUUUUACCGAGUCGAUGAUUGCAAGGUGAGGACCGUGGUCCAGGUGAGUGUCGACCAUUUCCCAAAGCAUGAGCCAUGUGCAACCCUUUAUUUUAAAUAAUGUCACUAUGAAUUAGCUCUUAUUUACUCAUUUAGUUAGUUAGUUAGUUAGUUUACCUUUUCCUUGAGAUGUGUGCUUGAUUCAUGACCUGCCCGAAAGGCAGAGAGGUUAGGGGAGGGUUGCGUGUAAUAUGUUGGUUGGUUCCCUCCUGUUCUUCCUCCUCUGUCUUUUGCACAUCAAGCACUGAGAGGUCCUCAGCCCCUACAGCACUAAUGAAUGCCUCACCGCUCCUGGUCGGCCUUACUACACGUGGGAAGGGGGUUCUAGAGACCUGCUGAGAUGGUCAGAGCAUCCCCGGGAGGGGGUGAGGGAUGAAAAAGAGGUGGGAUUUCAGUCCUAGGUCCUCCAGGCAGAGAAAUAAAUCAGCAUAGCUGGUCUCUUGGAAGGAGUGGUGGGGAAAGACAGGUCAUCACCUACACACACACACACACACACACACACACACACACACACACACACACACACACACUCUCGAGGUCCCCCAUCAUUGCAUGGCCAGCACAAAGGUUUUAGGGUGGCGCUGGGUGUCAGCAGGAGCUUCCUGGUUUCACAGAGGAGUGCUUGUCUAACACUAGGCUGAGUGACACUCUUUUCCUGCAGUCUGCUGGGGCCACAGAGGAACAAAGGAAGCCAACUAUUAUAUUUUAUUUUUUAAUUUUUUUUAGUGGACAACAAUCCUGUCAGCACCAUAGAAAAGGAAAGGGGCGAAGAGGAGCCAAAGUGGGAGGGAGGUCGGAGGUCACAGAAUGCUGUUCCUGCGGCAUCUGUCUUAAAAGGGUGUCUAAAAGGUGUCUUAAGGUGGUCUCUAUGGGAAUACAGGAUAGAAGAAUGCGGGAGGACUCGUUUCGCUUGUUACAGUUUAAGCAAAUCUCUAGCCAAAUGUUAACAACUCAGCUAUUCUGGGGAUGGGGGUGAGUCAGGAAACUGGCACCCAAUCUUCCCCCUUCUCAACAUUUGGGGAAAAUAAAGGAUUAGGUAAAACUCUUUUCGUUCCUCUCAUUCUCCACCGUGAGCAGAGGUUCACAGAACCGGUGAAACCGUAUUUAACUGGAGACAAGUCAAUCCAGAAGGCAUUUGCUCACACAGCAACCUUCCCACUAGAAAGUGAACCUUCCCGCUAGAAAAAAAAAGUGCUAACUGUUUUUAUUUCAUUCUUUCUUAGUUGGACCCCUCACCUGCUGCCUGCAGUUCUUCUAAAGAAUGGCUGUGCAGAAUACGACUUAAAGUUUGAGCAAAGUGGGGUGUCUCUAAAUUCAAAGAUUCCACAGAGAGGAGGUCCUAGCCCAUAAAGAAUAAUCACAAGCUGGGAGUAGGGGGUGUGUGCCUUUCAUCCUAAUACCCAAGAGGCAGGCAUAGGUGGAUCUCUGUGAUUUUGAGUCCAGUUGGGUCGAUAUAGUGAGUUCAAGGCCAGCCAGGGCUACAUACUAAGAGACCAUUGUCUCAAAAGAUAGAAAAAGAAAAGAAAAGAAGAGAAGAGAAAAGGAAAGGAAGGGAAGGGAAGGAAAA